rnacentral:rRNA from 1 species
UGGGGAAUCUUCCGCAAUGGACGAAAGUCUGACGGAGCAACGCCGCGUGAGUGAUGACGGCCUUCGGGUUGUAAAGCUCUGUUAAUCGGGACGAAAGGCCUUCUUGCGAAUAGUUAGAAGGAUUGACGGUACCGGAAUAGAAAGCCACGGCUAACUACGUGCCAGCAGCCGCGGUAAUACGUAGGUGGCAAGCGUUGUCCGGAAUUAUUGGGCGUAAAGCGCGCGCAGGCGGAUUGGUCAGUCUGUCUUAAAAGUUCGGGGCUUAACCCCGUGAUGGGAUGGAAACUGCCAAUCUAGAGUAUCGGAGAGGAAAGUGGAAUUCCUAGUGUAGCGGUGAAAUGCGUAGAUAUUAGGAAGAACACCAGUGGCGAAGGCGACUUUCUGGACGAAAACUGACGCUGAGGCGCGAAAGCCAGGGGAGCGAACGGGAUUAGAUACCCCGGUAGUCCUGGCCGUAAACGAUGAGUACUAGGUGUAGGAGGUAUCGACCCCUUCUGUGCCGGAGUUAACGCAAUAAGUACCCCGCCUGGGGAGUACGACCGCAAGGUUG